AAUUCUUACGUUGUGAGUUUUUAAGUAUAUUUUCUUAAAGUCUAUGUAUUUUUUCAUCAAUCUACAAAAUAAUAACUGUUGUUCUGGAUCUAUGCCUUAGAAAGAUUUCUUUGAGGAUUUAAUUUAAAAUCUGAUAUUCAAAGUCGACGGUAGUUGCCGAAACAAGCUAUAAAAGUUUGUGAAUAAAAGACAAUAUUUAUUAUAGUGUUAACCAUUUUAACCACGUAGACAAUUUUGAAGAUUAUAAGUAUAUUUCAACAGUGUAAAAUAUUGUUGGUUGCUGUUGCCUCUUUUCCAUAUACUCAGAUAAGUAUAAAAACAUAUAAUGUUAAAAAUUGCUUUCUUUUAUUUAUUAAAUGUAUUUUAUUUCUUUUUGUUAGGUAUAGGUGCAUAUUUAAAAAGUGAAAAUCGUAAUUUGAUUUGUUUCUGAAAUAUGGUGGCACGUAGGUACAUAAUCUUCAACUUUGGACCGGCAAAAGUGGAAAAAUCAACACAAAAUAAAAACCAUAUUAAAGGCAGGCGGUUCUCAACAAAUGCUGUACACUUGAAAUUGUCAUUGCAAACUAAAGCAAAACAUUGAAUUUACUCAAGAGUCUAAUGCUGCCGAUUACAAUAAGAUGAUGCAUCCAUUAAAAAAGUAAAAUUAAGUUAAAAAUUAAAUUUAUAGUGAAAUGUAUAGUGAUAGUGAU